ensembl:lncRNA
GUGAGUCUCGUCAGAGUUCUCACCCGUGCACGUUAAUGUUAUUACAUUCUAACUGUUUGAGUGUCUUUAUUCAGCCUGAAGAAUGUCUUAUUAAAAAUAAACUCUUGACAUUUAAUUGGUCCUCCGAGCCGGAUGUAGGACAUCGAAUUAUAACUAAUUUUAUGCUCCAACGGAGUGACCUCGUCGUUUCCUGUCAUCGUGGAGAGCCCGCGCUGAAGUCUGUCGACAGCCUCUUUCCUAUGAAGGAGAAAAAGACCAACUACGUGAAUUCGGGGUUGGCCAGCGUUCUUAGUAAGAGGUCCACGAUCCUGGGGAACGAGGAGGAAUCUCUGACCGGCACUUAUAUCAUCAUAACCAGUCUCUUCCAGGUUGAAACCAGGCGACUGGAUCCUGAUCAAGGUACUCCAGAGGAAAAACUGGAGCUCUCCAAGGUGGGAGGGCCCUUAUCAGGUCCUGCUCACAACACCAACAGCGUGCAAAAUCGCUGAAAGACCUUCGUGGAUCCACCAGAGCCACGCAAAAAAAAGUACAAGGGGACACAAGCCCAGACGCCAGUCCACCUAUCAUCUAGUGAUCUGUAAGUGGAGGAGAGGGCAGAUUG